ACCAGAGCCUCAGAGAGGUUUACAAACCACAGUCAAAUUGAAAUUAGUUAAAACACCUGUUUUACAAAUUACUUAGGUUUGUGCUCUCAUCUGAGAAGUCUGGAUGUAUUCUUUCUUCAAGUAGGGGAGGCAGCUAUGACGUUUGGGUCAUAGGUACUAUUUCUUAUUAUAGCCUGUCUCUUCUUGCUGUAGGCGCUCUUGGCUCCAGCCCCACCAGAGGCUGAUGAGGGCACAGCUCCUGUGCUCAGCCAUACCAUUGUGAAUUCAAAGCUGCGGUUGGGAUUUAAUGUUCCUUUCCUAUAUUGACAUUUCAUGUAGGAGCCUUUUCUGAGAAUUGCUCCUGAGUGGGACCAUUUGCCCUGCAGAUUUCCUCUCUCUACCUCCUAUACCUUAAUGAUGGAACAAAGGCCCUGUCUUAUAUACAGGCCCCCCAGAUUUUCAGCAGCACACUCCUGGACCUGUUCCUACCAACUUCUCGCAAGCCCCCAGGCUGCCCAUCCAGGACCAGUGGAGAGGCCCACCACCCCCCCCGCCGCCGCUCCCUCCUCCCCCUCCUCAGGAAAGAGACCCUUUCUUCAUAGGAGAUCCCCGAUUUCCCAGCCAUCACCUGUUCGAGCAGCGGAGCCCCCCGCCGCCGCCGCCUCCGCCUCCCCUCAACAGCGCUCAUCCCGUCCCUACCCAAAACCCGAUGCCUUUCAGUCAGCCUGGGCCGGCUUUUAACCAGCAAGGGCAACAACCCGUCUUCCCCAGGGAGAGGCCGGUGCGGCCCAACCUUCAGCCUCAAGGGCCGGUGGGAAUUCUGCACUUCAACCAGCCGGGCGCCGCCAAUCCGCGACCCUUCAUCCCGCCGCGCCAGCAGUUCCUGCAGGCUCCGGGACAGCCCUUCCUGGCCGCGCACACGCAGCCCA
rnacentral:lncRNA from 1 species